AGAAAACAGUAGCGGCCAAGUUUUUUGCUUCGUUCUCCUUGGAAUUCUGCUGUUGCUUUCACUCCAUAGCCACAUUGUUCAUCGAUCCCUUUCGCCACUGUACUGAUUUGAUGUUUUUCUUUGUUCAUCAUUGAAGGGUCCAGUGUCGGAAUCUGCUGUGUGGCGCAUACACACUAAUGGUCAAGCAUUGAAUCACCAAUACCAAUUGCCAAGUAGGAAGAAAAAUCAAGUUGUUUUCUUGCUUUUAAGUCUUAUAUGUUCCUUUUGGUUUUGGAACUAUGCAUAUUAGGCAUGUAUAAAGGGAGAGCUUUUACCUCGUGGGUCGUGAAAGUUUAUCCUUUUGCUUAAAAUUUCCAAAUCAUUGAGCAAUCUUGACUUCUUUUCAUUAUCUAUUUUGUUGCUCUA